rnacentral:rRNA from 1 species
GAUGAACGCUGGCGGCGUGCUUAACACAUGCGAGUCGAACGGUGAACACGGAGCUUGCUCUGUGGGAUCAGUGGCGAACGGGUGAGUAACACGUGAGCAACCUGCCCCUGACUCUGGGAUAAGCGCUGGAAACGGCGUCUAAUACUGGAUAUGUGACGUGACCGCAUGGUCUGCGUUUGGAAAGAUUUUUCGGUUGGGGAUGGGCUCGCGGCCUAUCAGCUUGUUGGUGAGGUAAUGGCUCACCAAGGCGUCGACGGGUAGCCGGCCUGAGAGGGUGACCGGCCACACUGGGACUGAGACACGGCCCAGACUCCUACGGGAGGCAGCAGUGGGGAAUAUUGCACAAUGGGCGCAAGCCUGAUGCAGCAACGCCGCGUGAGGGAUGACGGCCUUCGGGUUGUAAACCUCUUUUAGCAGGGAAGAAGCGAAAGUGACGGUACCUGCAGAAAAAGCGCCGGCUAACUACGUG